CAGCGGCUCCUAGGAAAGUCGGCAGCGUGCCGCUUCGGGUGAUUCCGGAGCCGCUCCCUGCCGGUCCAGGGACGCUCCGCAGCAGCGGCUGCUCAACGCCAGCACCGCGCGCCACCAACCGCCGACGGCGACGCCUGUCAGUCCACGGCGGCAAUGAGCCGAUCGGAUGCCGCGAGGCGCUCGGGGGCAGCUGCGAGCCAAUCGGGUGCCGCGACGCGCGCAGCGGCGGCUGGCAGCAAAAGCGGUCCGUGGUCCCGGGACGGGCUCGGGCGUAAAACCGACCGAGGAAAUAGGCGAGGGGCAGCCUGGAUUGGAAGCGGGGGGAGAACAUCGCUGAGCCGGCGGUCCAAGCGCCGACUGCAAGCCCGCACCUCAGCGCCUCGGAGAAACGGGUGCC
rnacentral:lncRNA from 1 species